AAUAGAUACCCAGGUAGUCCACGCCGUAAACGAUGAGUGCUAAGUGUUAGAGGGUUUCCGCCCUUUAGUGCUGCAGCUAACGCAUUAAGCACUCCGCCUGGGGAGUACGGCCGCAAGGCUGAAACUCAAAGGAAUUGACGGGGGCCCGCACAAGCGGUGGAGCAUGUGGUUUAAUUCGAAGCAACGCGAAGAACCUUACCAGGUCUUGACAUCCUCUGCCAACCCUAGAGAUAGGGCGUUCCCCUUCGGGGGACAGAGUGACAGGUGGUGCAUGGUUGUCAUCAGCUCGUGUCGUGAGAUGUUGGGUUAAGUCCCGCAACGAGCGCAACCCUUGAUCUUAGUUGCCAGCAUUCAGUUGGGCACUCUAAGGUGACUGCCGGUGACAAACCGGAGGAAGGUGGGGAUGACGUCAAAUCAUCAUGCCCCUUAUGACCUGGGCUACACACGUGCUACAAUGGAUGGUACAAAGAGCUGCGAACCCGCGAGGGUAAGCGAAUCUCAUAAAGCCAUUCUCAGUUCGGAUUGUA
rnacentral:rRNA from 1 species